rnacentral:rRNA from 1 species
CGUGUAGGCGGAGCGGUAAGUACUUUGUGAAAGCCCCGGCUUCAAUCCGGGAACUGCUAGGUAUACUGUCGCUCUUGAGGCAGGUAGGGGUCACUGGAACCUUAGGUGGAGCGGUGAAAUGCGUAGAUAUCUAAGGGAACGCCUGUGGCGAAAGCGGGUGACUGGGCCUGACCUGACGCUGAGACGCGAAAGCGUAGGGAGCAAACGGGAUUAGAUACCCCGGUAGUCUACGCCGUAAACGAUGCGCACUAGGUUCGAGUGCCACUGACGGUUCUCGUGCCGAAACAAAAGCGUUAAGUGCGCCGCCUGGGGAGUACGGCCGCAAGGCUAAA